AGAGUUUGAUCCUGGCUCAGGAUGAACGCUGGCGGCGUGCCUAACACAUGCAAGUCGAACGGAAUUUACAUGAAGCCUAGCGAUUGUAAAUUUAGUGGCGGACGGGUGAGUAACGCGUGGGUAACCUGCCUUGUACUGGGGGACAACAGUUGGAAACGACUGCUAAUACCGCAUAAGCGCACAGCUUCGCAUGAAGCAGUGUGAAAAACUCCGGUGGUACAAGAUGGACCCGCGUCUGAUUAGCUGGUUGGUGAGGUAACGGCCCACCAAGGCGACGAUCAGUAGCCGACCUGAGAGGGUGACCGGCCACAUUGGGACUGAGACACGGCCCAGACUCCUACGGGAGGCAGCAGUGGGGAAUAUUGCACAAUGGGGGAAACCCUGAUGCAGCGACGCCGCGUGGAGGAAGAAGGUCUUCGGAUUGUAAACUCCUGUUGUUGAGGAAGAUAAUGACGGUACUCAACAAGGAAGUGACGGCUAACUACGUGCCAGCAGCCGCGGUAAAACGUAGGUCACAAGCGUUGUCCGGAAUUACUGGGUGUAAAGGGAGCGCAGGCGGGAGAACAAGUUGGAAGUGAAAUCCAUGGGCUCAACCCAUGAACUGCUUUCAAAACUGUUUUUCUUGAGUAGUGCAGAGGUAGGCGGAAUUCCCGGUGUAGCGGUGGAAUGCGUAGAUAUCGGGAGGAACACCAGUGGCGAAGGCGGCCUACUGGGCACCAACUGACGCUGAGGCUCGAAAGUGUGGGUAGCAAACAGGAUUAGAUACCCUGGUAGUCCACACCGUAAACGAUGAUUACUAGGUGUUGGAGGAUUGACCCCUUCAGUGCCGCAGUUAACACAAUAAGUAAUCCACCUGGGGAGUACGACCGCAAGGUUGAAACUCAAAGGA
rnacentral:rRNA from 1 species